rnacentral:rRNA from 1 species
GAUGAACGCUGGCGACGUGCUUAACACAUGCAAGUCGAACGGAAGCAGAAUGAAACCUAGUGAUUUUUGCUUUAGUGGCGGACGGGUGAGUAACGCGUGGAUAACCUGCCUUACACUGGGGGAUAACACUUAGAAAUAGGUGCUAAUACCGCAUAAGCGCACAGGGCCGCAUGGUCUGGUGUGAAAAACUCCGGUGGUGUAAGAUGGAUCCGCGUCUGAUUAGCUAGUUGGUGAGGUAACGGCCCACCAAGGCGACGAUCAGUAGCCGGCCUGAGAGGGUGAACGGCCACAUUGGGACUGAGACACGGCCCAAACUCCUACGGGAGGCAGCAGUGGGGAAUAUUGCACAAUGGGCGAAAGCCUGAUGCAGCGGCGCCGCGUGAGUGAAGAAGUAUUUCGGUAUGUAAAGCUCUAUCAGCAAGGAAGAAAAUGACGGUACUUGACUAAGAAGCCCCGGCUAACUACGUGCCAGCCGCCGCUGUAAUAC